rnacentral:rRNA from 10 species
GUCUACGGUGAUACCACCCUGAAUGCGCCUGAUCUCGUCUGAUCUCAGAAGAUAAGCAGGGUCGGGCCUGGUUAGUACUUGAAUGGGAGACCACCUGGGAAUACCAGGAGCUGUAGGAU